rnacentral:rRNA from 1 species
AGUGAACGCUGGCGGUAGGCCUAACACAUGCCAGUCGAACGGCAGCACAGUAAGAGCUUGCUCUUACGGGUGGCGAGUGGCGGACGGGUGAGGAAUACAUCGGAAUCUACUUUUUCGUGGGGGAUAACGUAGGGAAACUUACGCUAAUACCGCAUACGACCUACGGGUGAAAGCAGGGGAUCUUCGGACCUUGCGCGAUUGAAUGAGCCGAUGUCGGAUUAGCUAGUUGGCGGGGUAAAGGCCCACCAAGGCGACGAUCCGUAGCUGGUCUGAGAGGAUGAUCAGCCACACUGGGACUGAGACACGGUCCAGACUCCUACGGGAGGCAGCAGUGGGGAAUAUUGGACAAUGGGCGCAAGCCUGAUCCAGCCAUACCGCGUGGGUGAAGAAGGCCUUCGGGUUGUAAAGCCAUUUUGUUGGGAAAGAAAAGCAGCAGGUUAAUACCCCGCUGUUCUGACGGUACCCAAAGAAUAAGCACCGGCUAACUUCGUG